AUAACUAAUCUCCUCGCGGAGGGGGAUGGCGUCAACACCGAGGGAUGGAGUUCAAUUUCUCAAAUGGAGACUCCAGUGCGACUGCAUCCUCUACAGCCGCCUCUACCUAGAUGGUGUCCCCAUCUCCAUGGUCCGUCACCCCAACGCCUCUCUCCUGAUUUCACCAUCGUUCGUAACUAAAAUCAACAAUUCAAUAGAAAAUUGAAUUUUGUUUCCAAUAAAAAAAUAAACUUGGAACUUCUCUAUAAAAAGAUGACUAAAAUGGCAGUACUGAGUUGCUAAAAUGUGUGUUGACAACAUAUAAAAUAGUGAGGUAGGGUCGUAGGACAGAAAAUUUCUUACAAAAUGAAGAGGCAAAAUAGGAGAAGUUGUGGCGACACAGAAUAACUAAACCUACUACUCCUGUUGAACCUUGCAUUGGCGAAGUUAUCAGGAUGAGGCAACAAAUCAAUUGACAGUGGUUUCCACUCUAGUUUCUGUGGAUUCUAAUAGAUACAUGCGAGAUUAGAAAUCCUUUGAGUUUGAUAGUCUUAGUUUGCAAUAAUCACGAAAUAGUAAAAGCAAGUGGGAAGUUUGGAGGGAUCUGUCUAUUCAACCUUUUUCAAGAGUAUCAGAAUAUUAGAAAAAU
rnacentral:lncRNA from 7 species